rnacentral:tRNA from 1 species
GCCGAGGUGGCAGAGCGGACUAACGCGACCGGCUCGAGACCGGUUUCUCCGGAAGGAGUGCUUGGGUUCAAAUCCCAACCUCGGCG